CCUACGGGAGGCAGCAGUGGGGAAUAUUGGACAAUGGGGGGAACCCUGAUCCAGCCAUGCCGCGUGUGUGAAGAAGGCCCUCGGGUUGUAAAGCACUUUCAGUGAGGAAGAACGCCUGGUGGUUAAUACCCAUCAGGAAAGACAUCACUCACAGAAGAAGCACCGGCUAACUCCGUGCCAGCAGCCGCGGUAAUACGGAGGGUGCGAGCGUUAAUCGGAAUUACUGGGCGUAAAGCGCGCGUAGGUGGCUUGAUAAGCCGGUUGUGAAAGCCCCGGGCUCAACCUGGGAACGGCAUCCGGAACUGUCAAGCUAGAGUGCAGGAGAGGAAGGUAGAAUUCCCGGUGUAGCGGUGAAAUGCGUAGAGAUCGGGAGGAAUACCAGUGGCGAAGGCGGCCUUCUGGACUGACACUGACACUGAGGUGCGAAAGCGUGGGGAGCAAACAGGAUUAGAUACCCUAGUAGUC
rnacentral:rRNA from 1 species